AUUUUUUGAUUAUUUUAGUAUCAUAGAUAUCUUUGGUUGGUAUAGUCCAACGUUUAAUUUCCAAAGGGGUGGGGGAAACAAGCUGUCAGGAACAGUUAAAAAUUCAGAGGGAUGGGGUUCAUGAAGUAAAUCUCUUCCAUUAGAGGGGGGCGGGGGUAUUGCCUAGAACUGCACAUUGGAAUACUUACUCUGGGUUACUCUUUUUCCCUUUGGUAUACAGAGUGGUAUAAUUUGGCAGCCUUUUAUUCGGGUUUUGUAACUUUAACACCCAAUGGUUCAAACAACCAAUAUCAAGUGCUGGAUGCUCAGGCAACGGUCAUGCAUGUUUUCUUCCAGCAUUUUUCCUUACAAAGUUUACAUAAACAACGACAUUCAUCGGGUUUCACCACAAAGGCCAGGACACAGUUACCAUAUUUACACUUAUGGAGAAUUAAUAUAUUAAAGUAUACAAUUGAAGUAUAUAUAAUAUAUACACUACAGGGCGUAUAAAAAAAACUGAACAGAUUUGAAAUUGCUCUCGAUUUUACAAAACAGCCUUUAGUAUUUA